rnacentral:rRNA from 6 species
GGGGAAUUUUCCGCAAUGGGCGAAAGCCUGACGGAGCAAUACCGCGUGAGGGAGGAAGGCUCUUGGGUUGUAAACCUCUUUUCUCAAGGAAGAAAAAAAUGACGGUACUUGAGGAAUAAGCAUCGGCUAACUCCGUGCCAGCAGCCGCGGUAAUACGGAGGAUGCAAGCGUUAUCCGGAAUGAUUGGGCGUAAAGCGUCCGCAGGUGGCUAUGUAAGUCUGCUGUUAAAGAGUCUGGCUCAACCAGAUAAAGGCAGUGGAAACUACAUGGCUAGAGUGCGUUCGGGGCAGAGGGAAUUCCUGGUGUAGCGGUGAAAUGCGUAGAGAUCAGGAAGAACACCGGUGGCGAAAGCGCUCUGCUAGGCCGCAACUGACACUGAGGGACGAAAGCUAGGGGAGCGAAUGGGAUUAGAUACCCCAGUAGUCCUAGCCGUAAACGAUGGAUACUAGGCGUGGCUUGUAUCGACCCGAGCCGUGCCGUAGCUAACGCGUUAAGUAUCCCGCCUGGGGAGUACGCAGGCAACUGUGAAACUCAAAGGAAUUGACGGGGGCCCGCACAAGCGGUGGAGUAUGUGGUUUAAUUCGAUGCAACGCGAAGAACCUUACCAGGACUUGACAUGUCGCGAAUUUCUGUGAAAGCAGAAAGUGCCUUCGGGAGCGCGAACACAGGUGGUGCAUGGCUGUCGUCAGCUCGUGUCGUGAGAUGUUGGGUUAAGUCCCGCAACGAGCGCAACCCUCGUUUUUAGUUGCCAGCAUUAAGUUGGGCACUCUAGAGAGACUGCCGGUGACAAACCGGAGGAAGGUGGGGAUGACGUCAAGUCAGCAUGCCCCUUACGUUCUGGGCUACACACGUACUACAAUGCUACGGACAAAGGGCAGCAAGCAUGCGAAUGCAAGCUAAUCUCAUAAACCGUGGCUCAGUUCAGAUCGCAGGCUGCAACUCGCCUGCGUGAAGGAGGAAUCGCUAGUAAUUGCAGGUCAGCAUACUGCAGUGAAUUCGUUCCCGGGCCUUGUACACACCGCCCGUCACACCAUGGAAGCUGGUAGUGCCCGAAGUCAUUACCCCAACCGCUUGCGGAGGGGGAUGCCUAAGGCAGGACUGGUGACUGGGGUGAAGUCGUAACAAGGUAGCCGUACCGGAAGGUGUGGCUGGAUCACCUCCU